GGGUUGUGAGGUUAAGCGACUAAGCGUACACGGUGGAUGCCCUGGCAGUCAGAGGCGAUGAAGGACGUGCUAAUCUGCGAUAAGCGUCGGUAAGGUGAUAUGAACCGUUAUAACCGGCGAUUUCCGAAUGGGGAAACCCAGUGUGUUUCGACACACUAUCAUUAACUGAAUCCAUAGGUUAAUGAGGCGAACCGGGGGAACUGAAACAUCUAAGUACCCCGAGGAAAAGAAAUCAACCGAGAUUCCCCCAGUAGCGGCGAGCGAACGGGGAGCAGCCCAGAGCCUGAAUCAGUGUGUGUGUUAGUGGAAGCGUCUGGAAAGGCGCGCGAUACAGGGUGACAGCCCCGUACACAAAAAUGCACAUGCUGUGAGCUCGAUGAGUAGGGCGGGACACGUGGUAUCCUGUCUGAAUAUGGGGGGACCAUCCUCCAAGGCUAAAUACUCCUGACUGACCGAUAGUGAACCAGUACCGUGAGGGAAAGGCGAAAAGAACCCCGGCGAGGGGAGUGAAAAAGAACCUGAAACCGUGUACGUACAAGCAGUGGGAGCACGCUUCGGCGUGUGACUGCGUACCUUUUGUAUAAUGGGUCAGCGACUUAUAUUCUGUAGCAAGGUUAACCGAAUAGGGGAGCCGAAGGGAAACCGAGUCUUAACUGGGCGUUAAGUUGCAGGGUAUAGACCCGAAACCCGGUGAUCUAGCCAUGGGCAGGUUGAAGGUUGGGUAACACUAACUGGAGGACCGAACCGACUAAUGUUGAAAAAUUAGCGGAUGACUUGUGGCUGGGGGUGAAAGGCCAAUCAAACCGGGAGAUAGCUGGUUCUCCCCGAAAGCUAUUUAGGUAGCGCCUCGUGAAUUCAUCUCCGGGGGUAGAGCACUGUUUCGGCAAGGGGGUCAUCCCGACUUACCAACCCGAUGCAAACUGCGAAUACCGGAGAAUGUUAUCACGGGAGACACACGGCGGGUGCUAACGUCCGUCGUGAAGAGGGAAACAACCCAGACCGCCAGCUAAGGUCCCAAAGUCAUGGUUAAGUGGGAAACGAUGUGGGAAGGCCCAGACAGCCAGGAUGUUGGCUUAGAAGCAGCCAUCAUUUAAAGAAAGCGUAAUAGCUCACUGGUCGAGUCGGCCUGCGCGGAAGAUGUAACGGGGCUAAACCAUGCACCGAAGCUGCGGCAGCGACACUGUGUGUUGUUGGGUAGGGGAGCGUUCUGUAAGCCUGUGAAGGUGUGCUGUGAGGCAUGCUGGAGGUAUCAGAAGUGCGAAUGCUGACAUAAGUAACGAUAAAGCGGGUGAAAAGCCCGCUCGCCGGAAGACCAAGGGUUCCUGUCCAACGUUAAUCGGGGCAGGGUGAGUCGACCCCUAAGGCGAGGCCGAAAGGCGUAGUCGAUGGGAAACAGGUUAAUAUUCCUGUACUUGGUGUUACUGCGAAGGGGGGACGGAGAAGGCUAUGUUGGCCGGGCGACGGUUGUCCCGGUUUAAGCGUGUAGGCUGGUUUUCCAGGCAAAUCCGGAAAAUCAAGGCUGAGGCGUGAUGACGAGGCACUACGGUGCUGAAGCAACAAAUGCCCUGCUUCCAGGAAAAGCCUCUAAGCAUCAGGUAACAUCAAAUCGUACCCCAAACCGACACAGGUGGUCAGGUAGAGAAUACCAAGGCGCUUGAGAGAACUCGGGUGAAGGAACUAGGCAAAAUGGUGCCGUAACUUCGGGAGAAGGCACGCUGAUAUGUAGGUGAAGUCCCUCGCGGAUGGAGCUGAAAUCAGUCGAAGAUACCAGCUGGCUGCAACUGUUUAUUAAAAACACAGCACUGUGCAAACACGAAAGUGGACGUAUACGGUGUGACGCCUGCCCGGUGCCGGAAGGUUAAUUGAUGGGGUUAGCCGCAAGGCGAAGCUCUUGAUCGAAGCCCCGGUAAACGGCGGCCGUAACUAUAACGGUCCUAAGGUAGCGAAAUUCCUUGUCGGGUAAGUUCCGACCUGCACGAAUGGCGUAAUGAUGGCCAGGCUGUCUCCACCCGAGACUCAGUGAAAUUGAACUCGCUGUGAAGAUGCAGUGUACCCGCGGCAAGACGGAAAGACCCCGUGAACCUUUACUAUAGCUUGACACUGAACAUUGAGCCUUGAUGUGUAGGAUAGGUGGGAGGCUUUGAAGUGUGGACGCCAGUCUGCAUGGAGCCGACCUUGAAAUACCACCCUUUAAUGUUUGAUGUUCUAACGUUGACCCGUAAUCCGGGUUGCGGACAGUGUCUGGUGGGUAGUUUGACUGGGGCGGUCUCCUCCUAAAGAGUAACGGAGGAGCACGAAGGUUGGCUAAUCCUGGUCGGACAUCAGGAGGUUAGUGCAAUGGCAUAAGCCAGCUUGACUGCGAGCGUGACGGCGCGAGCAGGUGCGAAAGCAGGUCAUAGUGAUCCGGUGGUUCUGAAUGGAAGGGCCAUCGCUCAACGGAUAAAAGGUACUCCGGGGAUAACAGGCUGAUACCGCCCAAGAGUUCAUAUCGACGGCGGUGUUUGGCACCUCGAUGUCGGCUCAUCACAUCCUGGGGCUGAAGUAGGUCCCAAGGGUAUGGCUGUUCGCCAUUUAAAGUGGUACGCGAGCUGGGUUUAGAACGUCGUGAGACAGUUCGGUCCCUAUCUGCCGUGGGCGCUGGAGAACUGAGGGGGGCUGCUCCUAGUACGAGAGGACCGGAGUGGACGCAUCACUGGUGUUCGGGUUGUCAUGCCAAUGGCACUGCCCGGUAGCUAAAUGCGGAAGAGAUAAGUGCUGAAAGCAUCUAAGCACGAAACUUGCCCCGAGAUGAGUUCUCCCUGACUCCUUGAGAGUCCUGAAGGAACGUUGAAGACGACGACGUUGAUAGGCCGGGUGUGUAAGCGCAGCGAUGCGUUGAGCUAACCGGUACUAAUGAACCGUGAGGCUUAACCUUACAACGCCGAAG
rnacentral:rRNA from 1 species